rnacentral:rRNA from 1 species
GACGAACGCUGGCGGCGUGCUUAACACAUGCAAGUCGAACGGAAAGGCCCUGCUUUUGUGGGGUGCUCGAGUGGCGAACGGGUGAGUAACACGUGAGUAACCUGCCCUUGACUUUGGGAUAACUUCAGGAAACUGGGGCUAAUACCGGAUAGGAGCUCCUGCUGCAUGGUGGGGGUUGGAAAGUUUCGGCGGUUGGGGAUGGACUCGCGGCUUAUCAGCUUGUUGGUGGGGUAGCGGCUUACCAAGGCUUUGACGGGUAGCCGGCCUGCGAGUGUGACCGGCUACAUUGGGUCUCUGAUACGGCCCAGACUCCUCCGGGAGGAAGCAGUGCGGAAUAUUGCACAAUGGGCGGAAGCCUGAUGCAGCAACUCCGCGUGCUGGAUGACGGCCUUCGGGUUGUAAACCGCUUUCGCCUGUGACGAAGCGUGAGUGACGGUAAUGGGUACAGAAGCACCGGCUAACUACGUG